CAGCCGCCGCGGUAAUACCGGCUGCUCGAGUGAUGGCCACUAUUACUGGGUUUAAAGCGUCCGUAGCUUGACUGUUAGGUCUCUUGGGAAAUCUUCACGCUCAACGUGAAGGCGUCUAAGAGAUACCGGCAGUCUUGGAACUGGGAGAGGUAAACCGUACUUCGGGGGUAGGAGUGAAAUCUUGUAAUCCUCGAGGGACGACCUAUGGCGAAGGCAGUUUACCAGAACAGCUUCGACAGUGAGGGACGAAAGCUGGGGGAGCAAACGGGAUUAGAUACCCCGGUAGUCCCAGCCGUAAACAAUGUGCGUUAGGUGUGUCGGUAACCACGUGUUACUGAUGCGCCGAAGAGAAAUCGUGAAACGCACCACCUGGGAAGUACGGUCGCAAGGCUGAAACUUAAAGGAAUUGGCGGGGGAGCACCACAACAGGUGGAGCCUGCGGUUUAAUUGGAUUCAACGCCGGACAUCUCACCGGAUAAGACAGCUGAAUGAUUGUCAAUCUGAAGGUUUUACAUGACUAGCUGAGAGGUGGUGCAUGGCC
rnacentral:rRNA from 1 species